UUUGGAACAAGUGCCGACAUAUAGAACAAAACUACUGAACACAGAUUAAAAUGUUAAACAGAGACAGUUUAAUUCAGAAGUCUAAAACUUGUGUUUUUAGUAAAAGCUGUCUGCACUUGACAAAACAAUAUUUGUGGAGGUCUUAUCUCCAAAAACUAAAUUCAGCACAGUUUAAAGCAUACAAAUGCUUCAACUGUUUUAAAAUAUAAUACAUUAAUAAUACAAAGACUUUUGACAUAUCCACCAUAUUGCACUGUUAUGCCAUUGUAAAUGUAGAACACUAAUCUACCAUCUCCAAUAUUCCACUGAUUAGAGCACAUUAUGAAAGAAAUUUACAUAGAGCGGAUCCAUUUCAUAUUGCUGUUUGUUUAAAAGAAACACACAAACCACCACGAAUUGAAUUUUUAGCUAAAACUAGCUACAUAUUUUGCAGUGUGUGGGUGUUUUUAGAAUGCUGAAGCCCGCCUUUCAUGCUCCAGAACGGUAGGUGGCGGUAUGCACCUAUAGAUGGCACCCAAAUCCGCCAUUAACGCCAAGAAAAAGGCCGACGUCGACGUUGCUGUAGCAACGCUUGUCGUUUGAGUCCUUUCGCUAACUCUGGUUCAAUGGCAAAAACGAGAGCAGACACGCUUUGGGAGCUGGCAGCGGCUGAGGUCCAGAGUCAGGAGAGUGGAGCUGGAGAGGGGGACGGAGGAGAGACGGUCUGCGAAAGGAGUGUGUUUCUGAUAGGGAGCAAAACUGGGGGUAAAACGUCAAUUCUCCUCAGAUGUCUGGAGAGAGAUGAGCCACCAAAGCCAACUCUAGCGCUGGAGUAUACGUUUGGCAGGCGGGCCAAAGGACACAACACAAGCUCCUCUUUCCUCUUUCAGCCCAAAGAUAUAGCCCACCUGUGGGAACUGGGAGGGGGAACUUCUCUCUCGGACCUCAUCCAGAUCCCCAUCACUCCAGACAGUAUAAGGUCUCUUUCUUUUGUGCUCGUUCUGGACCUGUCCAAACCCAACGCUCUGUGGGGAACCAUGGAGAAACUUCUGAAUGCAGCUCAAGCUCAUGUGGAAAAAGUCUUUUCUGAGGCACAGAAGUCCAAACCUGGAGGCAAACGGCAGAAGGCUGCUCACCCAGCAGCUCGGGUCUUACCAAAAGAUUACCCGGACAGAGAGCUGAUCAGUCCUUUUCCUGUUCCACUGCUCAUCAUCGGCAGCAAAUAUGACCUCUUUCAGGACUUUGACUCUGACGAGAAGAAAGUUAUUAGAAAAACCCUCCGUUUUCUUGCCCACUAUUACGCAGCCUCUCUGAUCUUCACUAGCAUUAAAUCAGAGAGCCUCAUGUCUAAAACCAAGAGCUUCUUCUCACAUCUGGCGUUUGGUCUGGACAGAGGGAAAACAGUUUCCUGUGACUCAGGUAAACCUCUCAUCAUCCCAGCUGGCUCUGACUCUUUCAGCCAAAUAGGGUCGCCUCCUUCAACUGACAUCGACAUAACGUCUCUACAUGCCAAAAACCCAAAGGAUCUGUGGAAGAAAGUGUACGAGCGAGUCUUUCCCAGUGAGGUAGCAGAGCCACAGUGAGCAGAGAGAGCUGAAAGAUCCAGCCAAAGACCCACAGUACAGUGAGCCUCAGAUUGAUGCAAUGAGAGCACAAAAAGAUCAGGAGUUGGAGCAGUACAAAAGAAAUGCAGCAAAGUCAUGGAAAGAACUGCAGCUGGAGACGUAACACAUAAAUUUGUUCCACACAUGCAACACUUUAUUGUGUACAUAUAAUAAACAUUUUGCUGUAUUUAUUUAA